GGGUCGUUAGCUCAGCCGGUAGAGCAGCUGACUUUUAAUCAGCGGGUCGCAGGUUCGAGCCCUGCACGACCCACCA
rnacentral:tRNA from 2 species